rnacentral:rRNA from 1 species
CGGGACGGGUGGGUAACGCGUGGGUAACCUGCCUUGUACUGGGGAGAACAGGUUAGAAAUGACUGCUAAUACCGCAUAAGCGCACAGUAUCGCAUGAUACAGUGUGGAAAAAACUCCGGUGGUACAAGAUGGACCCGCGUCUGAUUAGCUAGUUGGUAGGUAAGGGCUUACCAAGGCGACGAUCAGUAGCCGACCUGAGAGGGUGACCGGCCACAUUGGGACUGAGACACGGCCCAA